GAACCAGAUUGCUGGAGAUGGAGUGAUACAUGACAAAAUUUCUGAGUGCAAUGCAUGGAUGCUGAUAUGAGCUGGACAUCCUGAUGGGACAUGAGUCAUAGACCAGAGCCUUCAAGUGUGGCUGUUGACAGCUGGUGGAGGUGGAGGUAGAUACAUACAUGGAUGAUGUGAGACCAAGAUGAUGUGAGCUGGGCGGGCAUCCUGAUGUCAUUCCACCCUUCUGUAAUCAUCACCCAGAGUCUGCAAGUAGGAUUUGAAAGUGGAUAAAACGGACUUGGCAGCUACAAAACAACAUGAGUACCUUCUCUUCUGCUUCUGCUACAACGUCAUCAUCAUCAUCAUCAUCAUCUUCUUCUGCUACUGCUGCAGCUUCUUCUUCUUCUUCUUCUUCUUCUUUGCUGAUGAAUCAACUCUUUGGAUCGUCAUAGCCGUUUGCUGAUCAUUGCAGUAGAGCUAUAGGUGUUACAUCUGUGAGUUUAUUUAGAUUUAGUUUAUCUUCUUCUUCAUACUCUCACUAACUAAUCUAGUAUUUUGCAUUGAUAUAGGGUGAUUGUUUAUUGUAUUUAUAUUGCCAACAUUAGUUUCAUUUAGUAGACUUCAAUAGGAUUCUUUUUAACAUGACAUUGGAGGAUUCAGGGCAAGAAUUUGUGUCUCUUAUGAAAUGGAGAUGCAAUAUUCAAACAUGGGAAUACAGUGAUACGAAAAACUAGGAGUUAUGCAGAGCUUGAGGUACGUUUAAACGUGUAUACUAGUGUUGGAAAUUUGUAUGAGAUGAUUAUAAUGGAAACGCAACAUUUCAAAUAUAUUACAACUAAAAAAACGAUGAUAGAAAAAUUGGAAUAGAGUAUAUUACACCUCAUGCAAGGUGAUUGAUUGAUGUGAGUACUUUAUGUAGAUUACAAUAUAUACUGGCUUAUACACUUAUAUAAGAUAGCUCGCAAUACAGCAAAAUUAUAGAUGAAUUUACAUGAGAAUUCAAGUGAUUGAGAAUAAGGAACAGUUUUAUCAUACUGUUUAGUAUGACA